CCAGCGCAUUACAGGAAAGAUUUAAAAAAAGAGAAGGAAUUCGGCAAAUGACGGCCCCGCCUGUUUACCAAAAACAUCGCCUCUUGACUUAUAAUAAGAGGUCCAGCCUGCCCAGUGAAUUUUAAACGGCCGCGGUAUCCUAACCGCGCGAAGGUAGCAUAAUCACUUGUUCUUUAAAUGGGGACUCGUAUCAACGGCAUCACGAGGGUUUUACUGUCUCCUCUUUUUGAUCAGUGAAAUUGAUCUUCCCGUGAAGAAGCGGGAAUAUUUUUAUAAGACGAGAAGACCCCAUGGAGCUUUAAACCAAAUAACAACUUAACUACUUAUCCCACAAUAAAUUUAAGCYCUGUUAUAAGGUUUUUGGUUGGGGUGACCGCGGAGUAAAGCACAUCCUCCACGACGGAAAGAACAUAAUCUUUAUUUAAGAACCACACUUCUAGAAAUUAGUAUACUAACGUUUACUGACCCGACAAUCGAUCAACGGACCAAGUUACCCUGGGGAUAACAGCGCAAUCUACUUCAAGAGCUCAUAUCGACAAGUAUGCUUACGACCUCGAUGUUGGAUCAGG
rnacentral:rRNA from 1 species